rnacentral:rRNA from 1 species
UUGCAGAUCCUGUGCUUCGCCGUCCUCCUGGCGGCGACGGCGGCGUCGGCGCGCCGCCACGCGCCGCCGCAGGCGGGCGCGGCGGGGCAGAGCACCUACAUGGCGCCCAGCUGCCGGGAGCACACGGCGUCGCUGACGGACUUCGGGGGUGUGGGCGACGGCAACACCUCCAACACGGCGGCGUUCCGCAAAGCGGUGGAGCACCUGUCGCAGUACUCGGGCGAGGGCGGCGGCGGCGGCAUGCUCUACGUGCCCGCCGGCCGGUGGCUCACCGCGCCCUUCAACCUCACCAGCCACUUCACGCUCUUCCUCCACGCCGACGCCGUCAUCCUCGGGACGCAGGACGUGGCCCAGUGGCCGGUCAUCGACCCGCUGCCCUCCUACGGCCGCGGCCGGGACCACGCCGGGGGGCGGUACGCGAGCCUCGUGUCCGGAUCCAACCUCACCGACGUGGUGAUCACGGGGAACAACGGCACCAUCGACGGGCAGGGCGCCACGUGGUGGUCCAAGUACAAGUCCGGCAAGCUCAAGUACACGCGCGGCUACCUCAUCGAGCUCAUGCACACCGACGGCGUCUUCAUCUCCAACGUCACGCUCGUGAACUCGCCGGCGUGGAACAUCCACCCGGUCUACAGCCGCAACAUCGUCGUGUCCGGGGUGACCAUCCUGGCGCCCACCAAGUCGCCCAACACGGACGGCAUCAACCCGGACUCGUGCUCCCAGGUGCGCAUCGAGGACUGCUACGUCGUCUCCGGCGACGACUGCGUGGCCAUCAAGAGCGGCUGGGACGAGUACGGCAUCGCCGUCGGCAUGCCCAGCGAGCACAUCGUCGUGCGCCGCCUCACCUGCGUGUCGCCCACCAGCGCGGUGAUCGCGCUCGGCAGCGAGAUGUCGGGCGGCAUCCAGGACGUGCGCGCCGAGGACAUCACCGCCAUCGGGACCGAGUCGGCGGUGCGGAUCAAGACGGCGGUCGGGCGCGGCGCAUACGUGCGCGACGUGUACGCGAGGAGGAUGCGGCUCGACGGCAUGAAGCGCGUCUUCUGGAUGACCGGUGACUACAAGUCCCACCCCGACGACGGCUAUGACAAGACCGCCGUGCCGGUCGUCGAGAACAUCAGCUACCAGGACGUGGUGGCCACCGGCGUGUGGAAGGAGGCCGCAAGGAUGCAGGGCAUCCAAGGCGCGCCCUUCAAGGGCAUCUGUAUGGCCAACGUCACCGCUGAGAUGACCAAGGAGAGGAAGGUGUCAUGGAACUGCGUCGACGUCGAGGGCGUCUCCGCGGGCGUCACCCCGGCGCCUUGCGCGCCGCUGCAGGGCACCCACGCCGGCUCCUGCCCGUUCCCCACUGACACGCUCGCCGUCGACAAGAUCGCCGUGCAGCAGUGCUCAUACUCCAUCGCUUCCCCUGCUGCUUCUUCAGUGGCUGGGACAGGGUAG